CUCAUCACAUCCUGGGGCUGGAGAAGGUCCCAAGGGUCCGGCUGUUCGCCGGUUAAAGUGGUACGCGAGUUGGGUUCAGAACGUCGUGAGACAGUUCGGUCCUUAUCCACUGUGGGCGCAGCAGACGUGAGGGAUUUGUUCCUUAGUACGAGAGGACCGGGAACAACGCACCUCCAGUAUGCCGGUUAUGUCGUCAGACGUAGCGCCGGGUAGCUGUGUGCGGAAACGAUAAGCGCUGAAAGCAUCUAAGCGCCAAGCGCCUCCCAAGAUUGCGUCUGCCGGUCGCAAGACCCUGAAGGCUCGGGGAAGACUACCCCGUUGAUAGGCCAGGUGUGUAAACGCAGCAAUGCGUGUAGCUGACUGGUACUAAUCAGCCGUGCGGCUUGAUCACGUAACU
rnacentral:rRNA from 1 species